GAGUUGAGAAGUCUUGUUGUCACAUUGCAACUUAGGUGUCAAUUUAUUACCGGACUUUUGAACGAGUGAUUUUCUGGUUGUAUCUUCAAACAAGGAGGCAAAUUUAUGAUUUUCCCCAUUCCUUUAUUCGCCUCACAUUCCCAUCCGCUCCACUAGAAAGUCUAGUAGCAAUCAAUCAACCCCCUCAAGUUGCAGCUCCCAAGGCACUUCUUCUCCACCCCAUACCUCUUAGGUUCUAGUCAAUCGAUUCCCUAUCCAAACCCUCUUCCAAUCUCCAGAGUUGGAAGCAAUCGACCCCCUUCCAAAAUCCUAACUUAGAGCAGCCAUGGAUGAAGACUUGAAACUAAAGGAGGAGCAGGACCAUGCUCUGCCACCAAGGACGAGUUGGGCGGGCACCAUGAGAAUGAAGGCGUGAGAAUCUAGAGACAUUUAGGAUCUGCACCAACAAGGAAACAUGGAGGUUGGAUCGUUGAUGGAUAGACAGGUAUGCUUGAAGACCCUUUUUGCCUUUCACGACUUUUAGGCAACCACCCCUUUUACGAGGAUCUUUUCAUCCAUUAGGUUGUCAAGAGCUGGCCUUCUUCCGCUUGCGUGGAUGCUUGAGCUCAUGACUGCACGGCCAGGUCACUUCAAUUAUGACUUAUCAAUCCCCGCCACUCUUACCGACCGUUCGCAUCCCAAAAUGAACACGUUUCACUUGCCAUGCAAGGAUAUGAAGAUCACCUUGCAAGAUGUCUCAAUGCGCACUAACUUACCCAUAGUAGGGGAAGCCAUCACGCAUUAAUAUGCACCUGAUGACUCGCACACACACAUAGUAGGGGAAGUCAAAACUAUAAGGAUCCUAAAAAGACAACCAUGGAUCCACCUUGAAGUGGCUUCUUCACUUUAAGGUAUAAGGAUAUUUUCCAAAUACCGUCAGAUUUUCCUUGUCCAAUUAUUCGUGUGGAUUCUAUUUUGUGUAGAAUGUAUGUUAUGUUAUUUUUAUGCAAGAUGGACAUCAUGAAUCGUAAUGUGGACGAAGCAAAUGAUGAUCUAUUUAGUCAUUAGCUGGAGGCAUUCAUCCUGUUUUUAUUCGGUUCGGUGAUGUUUGCCAGCUCCCACGGCGACACCGUGGACAAGCGCAUAAACCGCAUAGCCAGGAUGAUCGAUGAUGUCGACCUGGAGAUGGCUCAACUCAUCUCUAUCUGAGCAAGACCUGGAGAUUGCUCGAUGUACCAUGAACUGAGCAAGGCCUGCACCAUGACAAGCAAAUACUUAUGAUUUGUGAGUCCCUCUUCUCGUGCAGGUAUGGUCAUACAAAAACUUCACUAUCGGUAAGCCGUCGAUCGAGGGAAGCUCAUAUGGCGUGAGUUGUACGAUGUAGACGAGGUAGACAGUCCCAUUCUUGGCUCCAUCUGGUGUUGCCGCUAGCCAUGCAGGAAGGGGUGCAACGCACAUAAUAGCUACCGGGUAUUCGAGAGUGAAGUUGACUACCUAGCUAUUGGUGACGUGACUUGCACAACAUACACCCAUGCGAGACUAGACUGCUGCACCACGAUGGGCCUCUCCAGCCUGUGCGUGCGAAACAAAGAAUACUGGUUGAUCGUAAAAAACUUGUUUUCAAGCACAUGCCAUUGCCCAUAAUCUUCACCCUGUCUUUAAUCUUUGGCCAUUUGAUCUUGAGGUGUGAGCAUGUACUCUAGCCACUACCUCAGUCAGACUGUGAAGGUAGGGUGUUGCCAAAUUUAUUGGCUCUCUCCAGAUCUUGGUUGUUGGAGUCAAUUAAGGGAAGAAGUUCACUAAAUCUUGUUGUGGUGAGUUCACUUAUUUUAAGUUGGUAUGUGGCAUAACUUACUUUCUCCAAUCCUCUAAAG